rnacentral:rRNA from 1 species
CAGUAGCCGCGGGAAUACGGAGGGUGCAAGCGUUAAUCGGAAUUACUGGGCGUAAAGCGCACGCAGGCGGUCUGUCAAGUCAGAUGUGAAAUCCCCGGGCUUAACCUGGGAACUGCAUUUGAAACUGGCAGGCUAGAGUCUUGUAGAGGGGGGUAGAAUUCCAGGUGUAGCGGUGAAAUGCGUAGAGAUCUGGAGGAAUACCGGUGGCGAAGGCGGCCCCCUGGACAAAGACUGACGCUCAGGUGCGAAAGCGUGGGGAGCAAACAGGAUUAGAUACCCGAGUAGUCCCUGUCUCUUAUAA